AGGACUAUGGUGUAGCGGUAACACAUGUGACUUUGACUCACAUAUCUGAGGUUCGAAUCCUUGUAGUCCUGCCA
rnacentral:tRNA from 1 species